GUGAGAGCUGAACACAGGCCCUUGGGAAUGCAGUUUGGAGCUCCAAACUGGUAUAAGGAGUGCCAAUUUUCCUAGGGUCUAUCUUAGUUUGAAUUUUUAGGAUAUCUAGUCCACCUCCACCUUUCCCACCUUUUUGUUUGUUUGUUUUUUGUUUUGGUACCGGAGAUCGAACUCGGACCUUCCGCUUGCGAGGCAGCCGGCGGAACGCCCGGCCCCUUUUCCACCUUUCCUCUUUGGAAUGCAGUCAUAAUUUAUGAUGAAGUGCAUUGGAAGUCGUUUUUCCCACAUGGCUGAUGAACAAUUAAACAAACCUGUAAAAGGUUAAUUUCAGGCAAUUCUACAAAAACAACUUCACAGUUCUAAUUGCACUG
rnacentral:lncRNA from 1 species